rnacentral:rRNA from 1 species
UUGAAAGGGAAACGAUUGAAGUCAGUCGUACCGACGAGAAAUCAGCUUUUCGAAUGUGCAUUUGUGGGCGUAUGAGAUCUUCAUUGUUUGCAAUAUGUAUAUUUCUUUGGUGUACUUUUUCGUAUGGUAGGUCAACGUCGGUUUUGAUCGCCAUAAAAUGAUCGGAGGAAUGUAGCUUCGGCUUCGGUUGAAGUGUUAUAGCCUUUGGUAAAUGUGGUGAUUAGGACCGAGGAUUGCAACGAAUACCUUUUAGGCUAUCCGUCUGACCUCUGAAAGUUACUUAGGUGCCGAAAGCUUGCUUACGGUCAUUUAAUUGACAGUCAAUAGGUUAGAACGUGAUUACAUUCGUUAAGGAUGUUGACGUA